AAGGAAUAUUGCUCAAUGGGAGAAAUCCUGAAGCAGCAACGCCGCGUGGAGGAUGAAGGGUCUAUGACUUGUAAACUCCUGUAAAGAAGGAAAAAAUUCCCAUUUGAUGGGAGAUGAUGGUACUUCUGGAGUAAGCCCCGGCUAACUACGUGCCAGCAGCCGCGGUAAUACGUAGGGGGCAAGCGUUGUCCGGAUUUACUGGGUGUAAAGGGUGCUCAGGCGGAUUUGUAAGUCAGAGGUGAAAUCUUACAGCUUAACUGUGAAACUGCCUUUGAUACUGAAAGCCUAGAGUAUGGAAGAGAGUGAUGGAAUAUCUGGUGGAGCAGUGAAAUGCGUAGAUAUCAGAUAGAACACCAAUGGCGAAGGCAGUCACUUGGUCCAUUACUGACGCUAAAGCACGAAAGCGUGGGUAGCAAACA
rnacentral:rRNA from 1 species